rnacentral:tRNA from 1 species
AAGAAAGUGACAGAGCGGUUUUGUGAUUGGCUUGAAACCAAUUUACGGGGGUUCGACUCCUCCCUUUCUGG